rnacentral:rRNA from 1 species
CCUACGGGAGGCAGCAGUGGGGAAUUUUGGACAAUGGGCGAAAGCCUGAUCCAGCCAUGCCGCGUGCAGGAUGAAGGCCUUCGGGUUGUAAACUGCUUUUGUACGGAACGAAAAGGUCUUUUCUAAUAAAGAAGGCUCAUGACGGUACCGUAAGAAUAAGCACCGGCUAACUACGUGCCAGCAGCCGCGGUAAUACGUAGGGUGCGAGCGUUAAUCGGAAUUACUGGGCGUAAAGCGUGCGCAGGCGGUUAUAUAAGACAGUUGUGAAAUCCCCGGGCUCAACCUGGGAACUGCAUCUGUGACUGUAUAGCUAGAGUACGGUAGAGGGGGAUGGAAUUCCGCGUGUAGCAGUGAAAUGCGUAGAUAUGCGGAGGAACACCGAUGGCGAAGGCAAUCCCCUGGACCUGUACUGACGCUCAUGCACGAAAGCGUGGGGAGCAAACAGGAUUAGAUACCCUGGUAGUCCACGCCCUAAACGAUGUCAACUGGUUGUUGGGUCUUCACUGACUCAGUAACGAAGCUAACGCGUGAAGUUGACCGCCUGGGGAGUCGGCCGCAAGGUUGAAACUCAAAGAGUAGUACGCGNGNGAGAGCGACGACGACGACGACGGAGGGAGGAG